rnacentral:sRNA from 27 species
AUGCAAAUCGGCCUGAAGCGCUUUAUGCCUAUGGGAAUAUCCAUAAUAGUCGCACCGUAUGCCUCCCCGGCAUAGACAGGUAAGA